rnacentral:rRNA from 1 species
UACAGAGGUCUCAAGCGUUGUUCGGAUUCAUUGGGCGUAAAGGGUGUGUAGGUGGCGCCGUAAGUCGGGUGUGAAAUUUCGGAGCUUAACUCCGAAACUGCAUUCGAUACUGCGGUGCUUGAGGACUGGAGAGGAGACUGGAAUUCAUGGUGUAGCAGUGAAAUGCGUAGAGAUCAUGAGGAACACCCGUGGCGAAGGCGGUUCUCUGGGACGGUACUGACGCUGAGACACGAAGGCCAGGGGAGCAAACGGG